GCCUACGGGGGGCAGCAGUAGGGAAUCUUCCACAAUGGGCGAAAGCCUGAUGGAGCAACGCCGCGUGGGUGAAGAAGGUCUUCGGAUCGUAAAACCCUGUUGUUAGAGAAGAAAGUGCGUGAGAGUAACUGUUCACGUUUCGACGGUAUCUAACCAGAAAGCCACGGCUAACUACGUGCCAGCAGCCGCGGUAAUACGUAGGUGGCAAGCGUUAUCCGGAUUUAUUGGGCGUAAAGGGAACGCAGGCGGUCUUUUAAGUCUGAUGUGAAAGCCUUCGGCUUAACCGGAGUAGUGCAUUUGAAACU
rnacentral:rRNA from 1 species